AGGCGCCAAAGUGGGUUUUUUUUUUUCUUUUUUUUUUUUUUCCGCCGAAGCCGAGCGGGUGCUGCUAGCGGAGGCGCCAUAUUGGAAGGGACAAAACUCCGGCGACAGCGAGUGACACAAAUAAACCCCUGGACCCCCUCGCUCCCCCAGCUCUAAGGGCCGCGAUGUUGUACCUAGAGGACUAUCUAGAAAUGAUUGAGCAGCUGCCAAUGGACCUGAGGGACCGCUUCACGGAGAUGCGCGAGAUGGAUCUGCAGGUGCAGAAUGCAAUGGAUCAACUAGAACAAAGAGUCAGUGAAUUCUUCAUGAAUGCAAAGAAAAAUAAACCAGAGUGGAGAGAAGAGCAAAUGGCAUCCAUCAAAAAGGAUUAUUAUAAAGCUUUGGAAGAUGCAGAUGAGAAAGUGCAGUUGGCAAACCAGAUAUAUGACUUGGAUCUCUGGAAUUAGAUACGCCUUCACAGCCCGUGAACAAUCACCAUGCUCAUUCACAUACGCCAGUGGAAAAAAGGAAAUAUAAUCCAACUUCUCACCAUACAACAACAGAUCAUAUACCUGAAAAGAAGUUUAAAUCAGAAGCUCUUUUAUCUACCCUAACAUCAGAUGCUUCUAAGGAAAAUACACUAGGUUGUCGAAAUAAUAAUUCUGCAGCCUCUUCCAACAACGCUUACAAUGUGAAUUCCUCCCAACCUCUGGCAUCCUAUAAUAUUGGCUCAUUAUCUACAGGAACUGGUGCAGGGGCAAUUACCAUGGCAGCAGCUCAAGCGGUUCAAGCUACAGCUCAGAUGAAAGAGGGACGAAGAACAUCAAGUUUAAAAGCCAGUUAUGAAGCAUUUAAGAAUAAUGACUUUCAGCUGGGAAAAGAGUUUUCAAUGCCCAGGGAUGCAGCUGGCUAUUCAUCAUCUUCAGCGCUCAUGACUACAUUAACACAGAAUGCCAGUUCAUCAGCAGCAGACUCCCGCAGUGGGAGAAAGAGCAAAAACAACAACAAGUCUUCAAGCCAGCAGUCAUCGUCUUCCUCCUCCUCCUCUUCCUUAUCGUCCUGUUCUUCAUCAUCCACUGUUGUACAAGAGAUUUCUCAGCAAACAACAGUAGUACCAGAAUCUGAUUCAAACAGUCAGGUUGAUUGGACUUAUGACCCAAAUGAACCACGAUACUGCAUUUGUAAUCAGGUAUCCUAUGGUGAGAUGGUAGGCUGUGAUAACCAGGAUUGCCCUAUAGAAUGGUUCCAUUAUGGAUGCGUUGGACUGACAGAAGCGCCGAAAGGGAAAUGGUACUGUCCACAGUGCACUGCUGCCAUGAAGAGAAGAGGCAGUCGGCACAAAUAAGGGUGGUCAUUUCAUUUGAGGAAGAAAACAACUUCAACAUUUUAUAUAGGACUUUAAAAAAGAAGAAAAGCGAAAGAAGAAACAAUGCAUUUCCAAGCACCCACUUUAAGGAUUUACAUAGACAAUCCUAUAAGAUCUUGAACUUGAAUUUUAUGGGUUGUAUUUUAAUAAUGUAAGUAAAUUAUUUAUGCACUCCUGAUGUGCUCUGAAUAUUAUUCCAGUUAGCCUUGGAUUAUUUCAGUGGCCAACAUAUGCAGACAUUUGUACUCCUCAACCAUUUUCUCAAAGUAAUGGGCAUUCUAUAAUUUACACUUCAAUGAAUUCCAACGAUGAAGAUUUUAAGAAAAGUAUUUUAUAUUCAACAGGUAUGUUCUGCUGCAUGUACUGUACUCCAGAGCUGUUAUGUAACACUGUAUAUAAAUGGUUGCAAAAAAAAAAAAAAAAAAAAAAAGACAGUGCUUCUAAAAAGAAUUUAAGAUAAUGGUUUUUUAAAUGCCUUUAUAAUAAGCUUUGUUUCUUUGUGAAACUAAAUUCAGCGGGCUGAAGGAAAUGGUUCAUGUGAUAAAGUGGGCUGGUGUCCUCUAGAGUACCUGGGUACAUAAACAGAAACUCCUGUAGGUAAAAACUAAUCUGUGCCAUUAGUCUUUAUAUGUUUCUGCAUCCAGAUAGAAUGCAGUUCAUGAGGGUGGGAGGGGGAGGGGCUGAAGGGAGAGGGUGUUAAAGUGAUACAUUUUUAUACCAAAUGUGUUUAUUUUUUUGUGCAAGUAAUCCUUAAAAUUGGAAUUGUAUUAGGUGUUAAAAUAAAGUUUUUAAAAAAUUACUUGUAUUUAUACUUUACACACUUAAUAAUGAAAAUUUCUGAAUUCCAUUUAACUUCCAAUUUUCAUAAUCUAAAAAGGACAGAGGCCCAGGACACAGAAUGCUGCGUAAUCUGUUAUUUCUUUAAUAAUGCUUGGAACUUGUGAUAUGAAAAUAAGGGAAAGACAUUUUUAAUGUAAAUUUGAAAUGCAAAUGUAUUUUUCUAGGACAUCUCCCUGGCUUUUCCUUCAGUGGAAGGGACAUGAAAGAAGUCUAAUUACAGCAGACAAAAGGAAAAUUAUCGUUAUAGCUGUUUUGACUUGAGGCAGUGUGGCCAACUUAAGAAACCCCCUGGACUGGAGCUUAAAAUUCACUUCUAUUUUUGAUUCUACCACAUGUUGGUAUGACAGUUAAUUCACAUUUUGAGUCACUCUGGGCCUUAUUAAACCAGGGUGAUCCUGGCUUCAGGAUGUCUAUAAAGCACUCCUAACGUUUUAUUCUAUAGGUGCUAUUUAAAUUAUAAAUUUUGCAUAGCGGAGGUUUUAUUUAAGGUAUAAUACCGAAUCUGGUCGGUAGAAAAAUCCUUAAAACUUUAAAAAUACUUAUUAUAUCAUAUUUCUUUUAUAUCGAAACUUACUGAAUCCAUCAGAUUUCUGCUUUAAUCAAAACCACUUAUGAGCCUCUUAGAACUUAUACAGAAAACCAAAAAAUCUAUGCAAUGCUACCCCAAGGGUAUGGAUUAGACAGAGGAUUUCAAAGAUCUCUUUCAGCUUCGAGAUUCCACAAUUCUGAGCUGCUGCAGUCUGAUUUUAUAACUGGACAACCCAUAAAACUAAGGUUCAUUUGUGGGUACUCAUGAUUUCAUGAUCCUCAGUAUUUUCACGGAGAUUUUUUAAAUGUAUAAGAAAUAAUAUAUAAUGUAGUGUUCAGUUAGCUUAUUAGCAUGUUGCCUGGAGAUGCUCAGUGGUUGUUUAAUCUUCUAAUUAUGUGUAAUGACUUUUCCAAACUCAUUCGUUUUGUAGGAAUUGGUCAAAGGAAAAAGCCUUAUAUGCAGCCUUAUUUUAAGAGAGAGUUCCUUGUCAGAGUCAGGAAUGUCCCUGUUUCCAGCUGCUAUAGCCCCUUUCAGUGUGUGAAUUCCACGACUUACCAAAUCAUUCAGAAAAAAUUUUGACAGAUUUUAAACUCAAACACUGAAUCUUUUAUGAAGUGUGUAUAAAGAAGUAAAGCAAAAUGUUGUGCAAUUAUUUAGUAAUGGUGGAACCUUUUAAUCUCUGAGAUCUAUAUGAUGGGCCAAACAUGGAACUACCUCAUCAAAAAAAAAAAAAAAAAAAAGAUGUGGCCAGUUAUUAAUAUUCUUUGUGACAUUUACAUCAAGGGGUAUAAUGAGCAUUUUUUUUUGGUAUUAUAAUAUACACAUUAAAAAUCUUUGUUGUACAAAACUCAUGUAAUGGUGGCACAAAAAAUCCAUAUGUGGGUUCACAGUUUAUAGGUGGUGAAAAUUGAGGCCUUACUGCUAUGGAGUGUAUAUUAAAAUGUUCAUGGUGACACAUUUGAAGCAAUAAAUGGCUUAAUUAAAUGCC